GGUUUCCGGGUCUUGGUGGCGAAAGUAAAAGACUUCGUUAUGGGGGAGAAGGAGCCCAGGAAAGCUGAAUCUGAGGGAGCUUCUCUGCCUACACAAGCUGAAGAACAUGGACCUGUUAAAGAAGAGAAAGAAGCCCCUUUAAAUGAUUAUGCUAAUGAGAAGAGCUCGGUCCUGGUUACUGAAAGUAUGUCCUCUCCUUAUUCUUCUCCUUCUUUGCUUUCUGGUUCCUCCUGACAUAGAGAGGAUAAGGAAAGUUCGUAAAUUGAUUUUUCAUGAAAGUUGAUGGCUUGCAAUUUUGAAUAUCUCAAGCCCGACUUAACAAUUGAAUGUUUCUCUAAACAUGUUAUAACAAGGCCCUUAAUUGUAUGAUUGAAUCUUCGAUGUGUCAGAGGUUGCAGAUCCACCUGCUACUGCAAAAAACUCAAGGGGGCCAAAUGACAGAGGUAUGCGCAGGCUACUAUGUUAAUCAAAAUUUAUAUCUUUCCUAUCAACAGAUAACAAGUACUUGUAUCAUUUAUCAGAUGCUGUGCUUGCGAGGGUUGAAGCGGAGAAAAGAUGUGCUCUAAUUAAAGCAUGGGAAGAAAAUGAGAAAGCUAAAGCGGAGAACAAGUACGAGACCAUCUCUAAUGCUUUGAAUUGUCCAUCUUUUAGUAUUGGUAUAAAGUAGGCCUCCUCACACUGGGAUUUCAAAUCUAGCAUAAAAACAUGCUUGAAAUGAUUCAGCUUCAAUCUGUUCAUCGAACAAGCUACUAGCUCUUAGUUUAACAAGAUUGCACUAUAUAUAACUUUGCUAGUGUCUGAAGUUCUCCUGAAUUAGAAUUUUACUGCAUGGAAAGUAAAUUCGAGCCAGGAAUUGACCAGCUCUUUGGUCAUCCAAUAUAAAAUAAUGUAUUUGGAAGUCUCUGAGAUUGAGUCUAGGCGUUCAACCAUUUUAGGCUAUAAAAAUGUAUACAUUCAGAAGAAAUUUAAUUUCUGAACCAAACCAUACACUGUUAAGCUAUUAAAUUACCGAGGAAAGAAACUCCAUUACAAUUGCCAUAGAAGUUAAGUUUAUUGUCAGCUCAUGCUCCAGAUAUGUAAAUACAAACAUGCUCAUUAAAUAUCUGGAUGUAUGUGUGUGAUACUUGAUAGUUUUGGUUAGGUUUCCGUUUUCAAACGUUUAUAGACUUGUUCAAUACACUCUUAAGGUCCAUCUUUGAAGACUCGCGCAAUGUCCUCUUUAAACAAGGAUUUGUGCAUUGAAUCAGUCUUACAAGUUAAAAUGUUAAACUUGGCUUUAUAAAGCUUUCAGUUCCUACUCGAUGAUGACCUUCAGACCUUGUUUCUGAGCAAGUUGUACACGCUGAAUUUUCAAAUAGGGCUCACAAGAAACUCUCUGCCAUUGGAUCAUGGGAGACAAUCAAGAGAGAAUCUGUGGAGGCAAAAAUAAAGAAGUAUGAGGUAACAAACUUAAUGAAUUGAAGUAUCAACUGCUUGUUAUAGCAUGACUAAUCUUCCUUUCCACUUAUAAAAACUGUACAGUUCAAAGUAAUUAUGUAAUAUAUAUUCUUGCAAAAAACUAUUUCAAUAGUGUCUUGAUUAAUUUGUGAUAUGGUAGGAAAAAGUGGAAAAGAAGAAGGCUGAAUAUGCAGAGAAAAUGAAGAACAAAGUAGCCGAACUCCACAAGGCAGCCGAGGAGAAGAAAGCAAUGAUUGAAGCAAAAAAAGGUGAGGACCGUCUCGAGGUAGAGGAAACUGCAGCGAAAUUCCGAGCAACUGGGUAUACACCAAGGAAGUGUCUUGGAUUCUUAAGUGUCUAAGAUGUUUUGGCAAAUUCUAAUGAACAACAGUGGGGUAA
rnacentral:lncRNA from 1 species